GACGAACGCUGGCGGCGCGCUUAACACAUGCAAGUCGAGCGAAGCGGCGGACGGGUGAGUAACACGUGAGUAACCUGCCUUAGACCUUGGGAUAGCCUCGGGACACCGGGAGUAAUACCAAAUGGUCUAAGAUGUACUAGCGCCCCAUUAGCUAGGUGGGGGGUAACGGCCCACCAAGGCGACGAUGGGUAGCCGGCCUGUGAGGGUGAACGGCCACAGUGGAACGUCGAAACGGGCCAAACGCUACGUGAGGCAGCAGUGGGGAAUAGUGCAAAAUGGGCGCAAGCCUGAUGCAGCUAUGCCGCGUGUAUGAAGAAGGCCUUCGGGUUGUAAAGUACUUUCGCUAUCGAACGGGUAGGUGGAGAAGAAGCGCCGGCUAACUACGUGCCAGCAGCCGCGGUAAUUC
rnacentral:rRNA from 1 species